rnacentral:rRNA from 1 species
GAUGAACGCUGGCGGCGUGCUUAACACAUGCAAGUCGAACGAAGCACUUUAUUUGAUUUCCUUCGGGACUGAUUAUUUUGUGACUGAGUGGCGGACGGGUGAGUAACGCGUGGGUAACCUGCCUUGUACAGGGGGAUAACAGUUGGAAACGGCUGCUAAUACCGCAUAAGCGCACAGCAUCGCAUGAUGCAGUGUGAAAAACUCCGGUGGUAUAAGAUGGACCCGCGUUGGAUUAGCUAGUUGGUGAGGUAACGGCCCACCAAGGCGACGAUCCAUAGCCGACCUGAGAGGGUGACCGGCCGCAUUGGGACUGAGACACGACCCAAACUCCUACGGGAGGCAGCAGUGGGGAAUAUUGCACAAUGGGCGAAAGCCUGAUGCAGCGACGCCGCGUGAGCGAAGAAAUAUUUCGGUAUGUAAAGCUCUAUCAGCAGGGAAGAUAAUGACGGUACCUGACUAAGAAGCACCGGCUAAAUACGUG